CGGAUCCAGCUCUGCGAGCAAGAGGGGCCGGGUAGCCUGCGUGUACACAGUACACGCUGCGAGAGGAAACAGAGCUCUGAGCGGGGCGCGGACGGGAGCUGCCUGAGGUCACCCUAGGGACUGCCGCCGGAAUUCGGGUCCAGGAUGAGGACCGCACCGGGCUCCUCUGCAAAGGGGACACGGAGGAUCAGGCCAGGCCGCCCUGGGGCCCUGGGCACGGCGAGGACGCUGGGUCCUCGGCGCCCACCAAGCCCAGGGCUGUGUAAGGAUGGCGCCAGGUCCCCCGGAGCAUCGACCUUGUGAAGGCAGGCCCCUCCCUGCAGGCCGGGAAUCUGGGGACCCCUGAGGCCCUGUCCCUGGUCUGGGCCCGAUUACACCAGGACUUGACAGGCCUGGUGACUGGGUGUCAGCUGCAGCAGCUCCGGCCUCUCCCCACCGCACGCAGCACCCCAAGAGCCCCGCCGGGAUAAGUGACUAAGUCCCGGCACUUAGGAAACCACAAAAGCCUUUAUCCCUCUCCAGUCUGCAAUAACCAGGCCCCAGGGAUUACCGUCAAGCAGGCCUGAAUGGAAAAGGGGAAUUUGUUCCUGGUGACAGAAGCGGGAACUUCAUCAAAGACCCUUAACACACGCCUCUAUUAGCCUCUCAAAUAACUGCAGUGCUAAGAAAAACUAACCACUUCAGAAGUGUCUCUCCAGUGGAAUAGGGGGUGCCAGCGGCCGAGAAUGCGGGUGUACCAUGCUGUCCUCAUGCUCAAGGCUGUGGGAGGGAACAGGGACACUCCUGAGCCUGCUUAGGGGCUGGGACUGUGCUGGGGGAAUUGUAUAAAGAACCGGGGAUUUUUAUUCCCACAGGUUUCUCCAGAUAUUAUUCAUGUAAAGACCCACACAGUAUACAAUUGCACCGCAAGCUGGUUCAUAAGUAGGUCAUUCUCAUUGGUUUUUGAGCAUAUACUGAAACAAAGACAAAGAAGAAUGGAAAAUGUCAUUUCUAACAUAUCGGAUUAGUUUUCCUCCAGUUUACUGUAACAGUGAAGAAGGAGCAGGAGGAGACAGGCAGAGCCGAAGUGUCAGGCGGGAGCAGUGACAGAGCUGGGCCAUGAGAAGGAGAAGCCAAGGAGCGUGGAGUGCUGGGGGCACAGACAGCGCCCCGGCCGCACCUCCUGUGUCCUCUCAGCCCGGUGCACCAGGAGUCAGAGGAUGCUGACAGACUGCCGCUGCUAAUGAGGAAAUAGGUAGGUGGAUCAUCACUGCGAGGGAAGCAGGUGAGAGCACCCAGAACCCACUGGUGGGCGGGAGUUCUUGGUGGCCAGGAGCAGAAGUGCGUCAUUGUGCACAGGGGGGCGGCUGGCCCUCAGCAGGAGGUAGCGCAGUGCCUGGAAGUGUGUGCCCUGCCCCGGUGGCGGGGGGAGGGGCCCGGGUGGAGGGCAGCGCUGCGCAGGAGGCCCCCCCUGGCUUGAGUGAGCCCCGCAUGCCCUUGCGAAGGCCCGGUUAUGUGUAGUCCUCCGCAUCUGCUUCUUGCGCUGGCGCCUGGCCUAUGGUGCUGUGUCCUCUGUGAGCAGCCCGGGACGCACCCCCAGCCGCAGGCGGCCUUGCCAAGUCCUGCAUCCCAGGAGCUCCCAAGGGACAAGUUUGUGCUCUUGCUGCUGUGGAGGCCACUGUCAGGCGGGGCGGGCCCUGGACCUCUGCACAAUCUACAGGACCAGCUCCAGUGACUGCUGGUGCGUCCUGAGGCCGCAGCAACCCUCCAUGUCCUUGAAUUCAGACCUGGCCUCACGCAGCUGUGUGCUGUGUCUCGUCUGCUUCCUCCUCUCCGGAGGACAUCCAUUGUCGUGCCGUGUCCACCCUGAUGGCCGCAUCUCCACCUGAUUCUAUCUUCAGAGACCCACUUCCCAGUGAGGUCCCAGGCACAGGCGUCUGGGACUGGGGAGCCACCUCAGUGGGAGGACAUGGCUCAAACCACGCACCUCCUGGCUCUGGAACUGAGCACAGCAGCUGCGCUGUACCCACUCAUAAGCUGGGGCAUGGAGUAGAGCAUCCUUGGAGUCAGCGUCCUCCCGUCCCCACCUGUCCACUCGCGUGGCCCACGCGGUGCAGGGACUCAGUCCCAGCGGUGCCCCAGGUCAGGCAAAGCUCUAAACAGAAGAGGGGACAGAGGUGUGCUUCUGAGUGUGUAGACUCCAACAUGGCUUUUGUGACUUACUGCAACUUCCAGUACAAAGAAAAAUCAACUCAU